AGCUGCAUGUCCAUACUCAACAGCACUGAACUGCGCGGCUGGAAGUGUGGAUCUUCCAGACUUUUCUUCAAGUACUGGCACCAGGAGGAGUUAGCUCGCCAGCUGGAGAAACUGGGGAAGGCGGCAGUUGUCAUUCAAAAGAAUUUCCGCUCCGUGAGCUGCAGGAGGAGGUACCUGGCCCUCCUGGCGGAGGUGCGCAGACAGAGACAGGUGCAACAAGAACA